rnacentral:rRNA from 1 species
CCUACGGGUGGCAGCAGUGAGGAAUAUUGGUCAAUGGGCGCGAGCCUGAACCAGCCAAGUAGCGUGAAGGAUGACUGCCCUACGGGUUGUAAACUUCUUUUAUAAAGGAAUAAAGUGAGGCACGUGUGCCUUUUUGUAUGUACUUUAUGAAUAAGGCUCGGCUAACUCCGUGCCCGCCGCCGCGGUAAUACGGAGGAUCCGAGGGUUAUCCGGGUUUAUUGGGUUUAAAGGGAGAGUAGAUGGGUUGUUAAGUCCGUUGUGAAAGUUUGCGGGUCAAACGUAAAAGUGCAGUUGAUACUGGCAGCCUUGAGUACAGUUGAGGUAGGCGGAAUUCGUGGUGUAGCGGUGAAAUGCAUAGAUAUCACGAAGAACUCCGAUUGCGAAGGCAGCUUACUAAACUGCCACUGACAUUGAUGCACGAAAGUGUGGGUAUCAAACAGGAUUAGAUACCCUUGUAGUC